GACGAACGCUGGCGGCGUGCCUAAUACAUGCAAGUUGAGCGAUGAAGAUUGGUGCUUGCACCAAUUUGAAGAGCAGCGAACGGGUGAGUAACGCGUGGGGAAUCUGCCUUUGAGCGGGGGACAACAUUUGGAAACGAAUGCUAAUACCGCAUAACAACUUUAAACAUAAGUUUUAAGUUUGAAAGAUGCAAUUGCAUCACUCAAAGAUGAUCCCGCGUUGUAUUAGCUAGUUGGUGAGGUAAAGGCUCACCAAGGCGAUGAUACAUAGCCGACCUGAGAGGGUGAUCGGCCACAUUGGGACUGAGACACGGCCCAAACGCCUACGGGAGGCAGCAGUAGGGAAUCUUCGGCAAUGGACGAAAGUCUGACCGAGCAACGCCGCGUGAGUGAAGAAGGGUGUCGGAUCGUAAAACUCUGUUGGUAGAGAAGAACGUUGGUGAGAGUGGAAAGCUCAUCAAGUGACGGUAACUACCCAGAAAGGGACGGCUAACUACGUG
rnacentral:rRNA from 1 species